rnacentral:rRNA from 1 species
GAAUUUUGCGCAAUGGGCGAAAGCCUGACGCAGUAACGCCGCGUGGAGGAUGAAGGCCUUCGGGUUGUAAACUCCUGUCAGGAGGAACGAUGGGGCAGGGAUGAACAAUUCCUGCACCAGGACGGUACCUCCAAAGGAAGCCCCGGCUAAUUCCGUGCCAGCAGCCGCGGUAAUACGGAAGGGGCGAGCGUUGUGCGGAAUCAUUGGGCGUAAAGGGCGCGUAGGCGGUCUCGUGUGUCUGCUGUGAAAUCGCACGGCUCAACCGUGUUGGGUCGGUGGAAACUGCGAGACUUGAGGCUGGAAGGGGCUGGUGGAAUUCCCCAUGUAGCGGUGAAAUGCGUAGAGAUGGGGGAGAACACUCGUGGCGAAGGCGGCCAGCUGGACCAGUUCUGACGCUGAGGCGCGAAAGCGUGGGGAGCAAACAGG